rnacentral:SRP_RNA from 1 species
CCGUGCUAGACGGGGAGGUAGCGGUGCCCUGUACUCGCAAUCCGCUAUAGCGAGGUUGAAUCCCUUUCCGAGGUUUUAGCCUUGUAGGGCAGCCUUAAGUAAGUGGUGUUGACAUUUGGGUCCUGCGCAACGGAAACUCAUGAACCCUGUCAGGUCCGGAAGGAAGCAGCAGUAAGUGAGACCUUUCGUGUGCCGCAGGGCUGCCUGAAUCGAGCUAACUGCUUAAGAAGCGCCUAUGAGACUUUAAUCGACGGAAGGUGCACGG